ensembl:lncRNA
GUCCCUUUCACGUCACAAAAGAGGAGUGGCUUAGUAAGGAAGAGUCUGAGGCAAGCAGAAAGCUUCAAGUGUUCUGCCUCGCAGACUUGGAGGGAGUGGUGAAAGAUGAACGGGCUCAGCCACAAGGGGAGAAGAACGUCACCCAGCCCCUAGAAUAGCAACAGCAAUAAAUAUGGUCAUGUCGCUCUUCUGCUGAGGCCAAAACGACAGACGGGAUCACAUUUGCGGCACCCAGCGCCUGCUGGCUCUGUGGAGCUGGCUCAGGGCUUUGGAGGAAACAUGCGCAGAAGCUGAUGCUGACCAAGCGGCUUGAUUUUGGAGCUGUGACUUAGCGUACAAAGAAGAGGGGAGCCCACCGCAGAGCUAGGGGGCUCAGCACCCUUCUGGUCACAGGGAGGUUUGUUCUAAAUCGGCUUUCCGGACAGCUGGCUCAGGGCUCUGGAGAACUGAGCCCAGAACUUCCCCGCAUGUCUGCCUGAGAACUCGCUGUUAUCUGCAGCUGCCGUGGCCGUCAAGGCACAUGCGUAACGAGGAAGGUGAAUAAGAGGGCUCUCGUUGGUCAUCAGUUAUUUAAAGCGCGCCCAUCGGAUUUCAGCCACUUCAUUGUACAGAAUCAGCACCUUUGCCCCAGCAGGUCUUGGAGGAAGCAGCAUAUCCUUGCCUUCAAACCUUCCUGGUCUCCCUUUGCAGACUGAGCACUGGUUUUUCACCAUUUUUUGCAACUCCAAGUGCUAGAUCUUCCUAUGUCCCUUUUCAUGUGUACUUCAGUUUCAUAUAAUAUAUGGCCACGUCCCUGGGUGGUUAUGGUUUUUCCAUCUUUACAUUCUUUGGCCACGUGGAUUUGGUCAAAUUGGGCUUUUCCAUUUUUGUAACUUGUGUACAGCAAUAGUUUUUUUUAGGCUGAAAACAGUUUAAGCUAAUAUAUGGUCCUGACUUUUUUCUAUGUGUUUUAAAAACUAAACCAUCACCUGAAUUUGUUGAGUUUUCCUUUUUCCCUUAAACUUUCUUGCUCUAAAAGGAUUUCAUUUCUUAUAUAAAGCCCAGCUCCUUCUCUCUGGAUCUUUCAUUUGGUCUCUCCAACCAGUCCCAAAUGUCAUGCAAUAAGUCAUUGGAAACAGGUUCACGGUGGUCAUGUGUCGCCUGUCUCCCUCGUGUAGCUUUUUCUUUUAAUG